CUAGAAACAAGGGACAUUAGGAUAGAAAAGAGGGGCAGAGGGAAUAUGCCCAAAAUAGAGCGUGUCCCUCUCCCCCCAUCCAGCUGCUAGUGGACAGGAGAGCACCUGGGCUAGAACUCUAACACUUCUCAAGUAAGAUUGCCAGACUCGCCAUAUCCCCUUAGACAUAUCUCCUUUCUGGCAAGGCUUCUCUGAGUCCCAUAAUGUAAUACAAACACAUACUUUCCAAGUGGCCUGGAAUUCCUAACACAGUCCUUUCUUUGUGACCCAGUAUCUCACUGCCAUAUUUUUCAUCCUAUGGUGGUUGGAAGCCGCUCUUUGAAUCUUUCCCGUGUGAUUUGAAACGGUUUGUUUAAUGGAAGCGCUUUCAAGAAGAAUUCUAAAUACAUUUCACAUUUUUGUCACGAAAAACUGAAAUGAGAAAAUUUUCCAUUUAACCUAUGCUUUCAGUGGGCCCUAAAUUGAGGCGAUUUAACCCUGUGUUAUACAAGUAUGUUUCCUUCUAAGUUGUUAUAAUAGAAAUACUGAAGUGGAUAAACUGGCCUUUGUGGGAACCUGUGCGCUAAAACAGCCGAGUUAGAACAAUUCAGCUGUUUGCGUGUUUUUUCUACGUUGCUUCUUUUGGCUUCAG